CAAUAGAUGUUACAAACGAAAUAUCAGAUGCAAAGUGUUCAAGAUCAACCAAUGGGGCAAAUCAUCCAGAGGGAAAGGGGAGAAAGAAUCACCUGUUUCCUCCCAAUUAUGUCUCAUUUGUUCUGUUGUUCAAGUUUCUGAUGAAGGCCUUGCUAAUCAUUCUGGGAUUUGGAAUUUGGGGUAUAAGAAAAAUCCAAGAAAAGAAAGAGAGACAUAUAUGGGCAAAUCAGGUCAUGAAUGAAUUGGUUGAUCGUGCUUCUUUAUACAAAUAUCGAAAUACUGGGCAAAAUCCCCAAGAAACUCAACCCAGCAAAGAUAAAGAAGAAUAUGAAGUGCCUAAUCCUACAAUGCCAGAGCAAGCUUC